rnacentral:rRNA from 1 species
GAUGAACGCUAGCGGCAGGCUUAAUACAUGCAAGUCGAGGGGCAGCAUGAGUAGCAAUACUUGAUGGCGACCGGCAAACGGGUGCGGAACACGUACGCAACCUUCCUUUAAGCGGGGAAUAGCCCAGAGAAAUUUGGAUUAAUCCCCCAUAGUAUGGUAAAGUGGCAUCACUAUAUCAUUAAAGAUUUAUCACUUAAAGAUGGGCGUGCGUCUGAUUAGGUAGUUGGCGGGGUAACGGCCCACCAAGCCUACGAUCAGUAACUGGUGUGAGAGCAUGACCAGUCACACGGGCACUGAGACACGGGCCCGACUCCUACGGGAGGCAGCAGUAAGGAAUAUUGGUCAAUGGGCGAAAGCCUGAACCAGCCAUGCCGCGUGGAGGAUGAAGGUCCUCUGGAUUGUAAACUUCUUUUAUCUGGGACGAAAAAAGGGAUUCUUUCUCGUCUGACGGUACCAGAUGAAUAAGCACCGGCUAACUCCGUGCCAGCAGCCGCGGU